rnacentral:rRNA from 1 species
GCAUAUCAAUAAGCGGAGGAAAAGAAACCAACAGGGAUUGCCCCCAGUAACGGCGAGUGAAGCGGCAACAGCUCAAAUUUGAAAUCUGGCCCCUAGGGUCCGAGUUGUAAUUUGCAGAGGAUGCUUUUGACAAGGUGCCUUCCGAGUUCCCUGGAACGGGACGCCAUAGAGGGUGAGAGCCCCGUCUGGUCGGAUACCGCGUCUCUGUAAAGCUCCUUCGACGAGUCGAGUAGUUUGGGAAUGCUGCUCAAAAUGGGAGGUAUAUGUCUUCUAAAGCUAAAUAUUGGCCAGAGACCGAUAGCGCACAAGUAGAGUGAUCGAAAGAUGAAAAGCACUUUGAAAAGAGGGUUAAAAAGUACGUGAAAUUGUUGAAAGGGAAGCGCCUAUGACCAGACUUGGGCCCGGUGAAUCAUCCAGCGUUCUCGCUGGUGCACUUUGCCGGGCACAGGCCAGCAUCAGUUUGGCUUGGGGGAAAAAGGCUUUGGGAACGUAGCUCCUCGGAGUGUUAUAGACCAUUGCAUAAUACCCUGGGCCGGACUGAGGUUCGCGCAUCUGCAAGGAUGCUGGCGUAAUGGUCAUCAGCGACCCGUCUUGAAACACGGACCAAGGAGUCGUCUUCGUAUGCGAGUGUUCGGGUGUAAAACCCCUACGCGUAAUGAAAGUGAACGCAGGUGAGAGCUUCGGCGCAUCAUCGACCGAUCCUGAUGUUCUCGGAUGGAUUUGAGUAAGAGCAUACGGGGCCGGACCCGAAAGAAGGUGAACUAUGCCUGUAUAGGGUGAAGCCAGAGGAAACUCUGGUGGAGGCUCGCAGCGGUUCUGACGUGCGAAUCGAUCGUCAAAUAUGGGCAUGGGGGGCGAAAGACUAAUCGAACCUUCUAGUAGCUGGUUUCCGCCGA